rnacentral:rRNA from 1 species
GUGGCGAACGGGUGAGUAACACGUGAGUAACCUGCCCUUGACUCUGGGAUAACCUCCGGAAACGGAAGCUAAUACCGGAUAUGACGCACGGAGGCAUCUCCUGUGCGUGGAAAGAACUUCGGUCAAGGAUGGACUCGCGGCCUAUCAGGUAGUUGGUGAGGUAACGGCUCACCAAGCCUACGACGGGUAGCCGGCCUGAGAGGGUGACCGGCCACACUGGGACUGAGACACGGCCCAGACUCCUACGGGAGGCAGCAGUGGGGAAUAUUGCACAAUGGGCGCAAGCCUGAUGCAGCAACGCCGCGUGAGGGAUGACGGCCUUCGGGUUGUAAACCUCUUUUAGUAGGGAAGAAGCGAAAGUGACGGUACCUGCAGAAAAAGCACCGGCUAACUACGUGCCAGCAGCCGCGGUAAUACGUAGGGUGCGAGCGUUGUCCGGAAUUAUUGGGCGUAAAGAGCUCGUAGGCGGUCUGUCGCGUCUGCUGUGAAAACCCGAGGCUCAACCUCGGGCCUGCAGUGGGUACGGGCAGACUAGAGUGCGGUAGGGGAGAAUGGAAUUCCUGGUGUAGCGGUGGAAUGCGCAGAUAUCAGGAGGAACACCGAUGGCGAAGGCAGUUCUCUGGGCCGUAACUGACGCUGAGGAGCGAAAGCGUGGGGAGCGAACAGGAUUAGAUACCCUGGUAGUCCACGCCGUAAACGUUGGGCGCUAGAUGUGGGG